rnacentral:snRNA from 1 species
AGCUUUGCUCAGUGGCAGUAUUAGAACCAGUGAGGUUUAUCUGAGGCAUAAUUAUUGUUGACUGAAAACUUUUCCCAAUGACAUCUGAUUCCAUGUUCCAUGUCUGCCCCCUGCCCCUGCUG